CCCUUAGAUGUUCUGGGCCGCACGCGUGCUACACUGAGUGGAUCAGCGGGUCAGGUUGCGCGAAAGCGUUUCCUAAUCUUUAAAUCCGCUCGUGAUGGGAAUUGACGGUUGCAAUUUUCUGUCAUGAACGAGGAAUACCUUGUAAGCGCGGGUCAUCAUCCCGCGCUGAAUACGUCCCUGCCCUUUGUACACACCGCCCGUCGCUCCUACCGAUUGAGUGGUCCGGUGAGGCUUUGGGAUCUGAGCGGAAAGAGCGUUUCGCUGUUUCUGCUCGGAAAACUCAGUCGAACCUUAUCAUUUAGAGGAAGGAGAAGUCGUAACA
rnacentral:rRNA from 1 species